UACGUAGGGGGCUAGCGUUGUCCGGAAUCAUUGGGCGUAAAGAGCGUGUAGGCGGUCCGGUAAGUCCGCUGUGAAAGUCGGGGGCUCAACCCUCGAAUGCCGGUGGAUACUGUCGGGCUAGAGUGCGGAAGAGGCGAGUGGAAUUCCUGGUGUAGCGGUGAAAUGCGCAGAUAUCAGGAAGAACACCGGUGGCGAAGGCGGCCUGCUGGGCAGUUGCUGACACUGAGGCGCGACAGCGUGGGGAGCAAACAGG
rnacentral:rRNA from 1 species